GGUGGGGCCUGAGGGUACCAUCCUGCAGUUGCCAUUUUCCCAGAUUCCCAGGUGGCUCUUCUGCACACUAAAGUGGAGAAGCACUGUCAUUCUAGAAACCACCUGGAAGUUCAUUCAUUCAGCAUUCAACAUUUUCCUGAGCAGUACUCCUUGUGGGCCCUGUCCAUGGCACCAUCAAGUCCAAGAAGAUAUCGUUCUAUCCCCCAGGAGCUCAAAAUCUUCUAAAGGAUAGACAAACAGCAGAUGAUACAGGGAAAGGUUACUACUGGGAGGCCCCAGUUGCCCUUCUCAUCGGCAGAGGCAGCACAGCACACUGACUGAGGCCCCAGGGUCCGGCUACUCCAGUUGGCCUCCUCCUUGUACAAUGACCGUGUGACUGCUCAACCACCAUCUGACUGUGGAACAAGAGCUCCAGGAAGACGUGGACCUUGUCCUGUUCAGAUUUAUAUACCUAAAGACUAGCUCCGUCAAUGAGAAGCAGGAACUGUGCCAUCACUGAAUGAAUGAAGCCAGCAGGCAUC